rnacentral:rRNA from 1 species
GCGCAGCAGGCGAGAAACCUCCGCAAUGCGGGAAACCGUGACGGGGUCACCCCGAGUGCCACCCGAUGAGGGUGGCUUUUCCCCGGUCUAAAAAGCCGGGGGCAAUAAGCGGGGGGCAAGUCUGGUGUCAGCCGCCGCGGUAAUACCAGCCCCGCGAGUGGUCGGGACGUUUAUUGGGCCUAAAGCGUCCGUAGCCGGCUCGGUAAGUCCCUCCUUAAAUCCACGGGCUCAACCCGUGGGCUGGGAGGGAUACUGCCGGGCUAGGGGGCGGGAGAGGCCGAGGGUACUCCCGGGGUAGGGGCGAAAUCCGUUAAUCCCGGGAGGACCACCAGUGGCGAAGGCGCUCGGCUGGAACGCGCCCGACGGUGAGGGACGAAAGCUAGGGGAGCAAAGGGGAUUAGAUACCCGCGUAGU